rnacentral:rRNA from 1 species
GUGGGGAAUAUUGGACAAUGGGGGAAACCCUGAUCCAGCCAUGCCGCGUGUGUGAAGAAGGUCUUCGGAUUGUAAAGCACUUUAAGUUGGGAGGAAGGGCAGUAAGUUAAUACCUUGCUGUUUUGACGUUACCGACAGAAUAAGCACCGGCUAACUUCGUGCCAGCAGCCGCGGUAAUACGAAGGGUGCAAGCGUUAAUCGGAAUUACUGGGCGUAAAGCGCGCGUAGGUGGUUUUGUAAGUUGGAGGUGAAAUCCCCGGGCUCAACCUGGGAACUGCCUCCAAAACUGCAUGACUAGAGUACGGUAGAGGGUAGUGGAAUUUCCUGUGUAGCGGUGAAAUGCGUAGAUAUAGGAAGGAACACCAGUGGCGAAGGCGACUACCUGGACUGAUACUGACACUGAGGUGCGAAAGCGUGGGGAGCAAACAGGAUUAGAAACCCUGGUAGUCC